CCUGGAGGGCAUGCCAAAUAUUCAGGUGCUUUAGCUAAAUGGUGAAGCGGCGGACUGUUAAUCCGUGAUAGCAAGG
rnacentral:tRNA from 1 species